UGUGUGUGUGUGUGUGUGUGUGUGUGUGUGUGUUCGUGUUCGUGUUCCUCUGCAGGUGAAGCUCUCUAAACUCACAUGGAUCCUGCUGGCCCUGUUUAAAGGCCCUGUAGAUGUUGAUGAGGGUGAAGUGGUCUCCCUCUGGGUGCUGGAGCUUCAUGUGGCACCGGGUCACCUCCGGUUUCAGCUCCGCAGAGGGAACCGUGAAGCAAGUUGGCGCUAAAGAAAACCAAAAAACAGGAUAAACGUGAUGUUUAGAACGUUGCUGUUUACGAUACACAAACAGAUAUUGGUUGAAAUGCAACACGUUACCUGUUAGCAUGGCAGCGGCUAUGACCACUUCGCUGACACAGUCAAACUCACAGGAAGCGAGCAGAGUCUUGGCCAUUUGGGGCUCCAAGGGGAACUCGGACAUGAUGAUGCCCAUUUCAGACAAGUUCCCAUCAUUAUCCAGAGCUGCAAGAUCCGGGGGAACAAAGGCCCAGGGAAGCAGGUCAUCUCUAAAAGGAUGCUGCCGAACAGGAGCUGUCAGCUCAGCUGAUUCACGGCCCACUGCCUCCCAAUAAAGUGUUGCAACAAAAGGAAA